AGAGACUGCCAGAUCCACAGUCCAACAGGAGGGCCUUCGUGCUUCACACAGAACGCCGAGAACAUCUAGGCUCAGCCUAACGGCCUGUCCAACAUGGACCGAUGCCACUCUUGUUACUGAACCUCUCAGCCAAGGAUAAUUGCUUCAAGACAACUUACGCAACCCCCUCCAUUUUACCUUUGAGAACCCUCACCAGGCUGGGAGUGUGACUUCGCGGUAGAACAUUUGUCUAGCAUGCACAAGGCUCUGGGUUCUGCCCUCCGCACUGCACCAUAAACAAAAGCAAAACUCUCCUCUUCCAGUGUCUCCCUGAGUAUUCCACAUUUCCCCCCGUGCUGUGGAGUUCUGUUGCCUGACUUUCCUGAUCCGGUUCUCUCUUUUGUUUUUUAUGCUUCAUUCACGAAUCUGGUUUUUAAAGAUCUGCGUUACCCCAAUCCAGCAGGGAGCCAGGCAUGAAGACGUUCAGAAGUGACCAGUAGGAUAGAGUUCCUGCCCACCGUUGUCAAGGAAGGAGUGGUGGAAUUCCUGGCAGAGGGAUCAUGUGAUAGAAGACUCUACUUCUACCCGCUAUGACCCACCCCCUAACACCCCCACAACCUCCCCAUGUAGUACCACUAGCUGGGAAACAAGCCAGCAACACAUGAACCUGUGGACACAUUUCAGGUUACCACCACACCUUAGAAACAAGCUUACUACUUACUAGAUGGGUGGAUGAGGCCAAGUACCUUAAUCCAUUCCUGUUGCUAUAAUAGAAUACUUGAGACUCGGUGGUUUAUAAGAAAUAGAGGUUUAUUUGGCUCACA